UACAGAGGUCCCAAGCGUUGUUCGGAUUCAUUGGGCGUAAAGGGUGUGUAGGUGGCCCCGUAAGUCGGGUGUGAAAUCUCGGGGCUUAACUCCGAAACUGCAUUCGAUACUGCGGUGCUUGAGGACUGGAGAGGAGACUGGAAUUCAUGGUGUAGCAGUGAAAUGCGUAGAGAUCAUGAGGAAGACCAGUGGCGAAGGCGGGUCUCUGGACAGUGGCUGACACUGAGACACGAAGGCCAGGGGAGCAAACGGG
rnacentral:rRNA from 1 species